UACAGAGGUCUCAAGCGUUGUUCGGAUUCAUUGGGCGUAAAGGGUGCGUAGGCGGCGCGGUAAGUCGGGUGUGAAAUCUCGGAGCUUAACUCCGAAACUGCAUUCGAUACUGCCGUGCUUGAGGACUGGAGAGGAGACUGGAAUUUACGGUGUAGCGGUGAAAUGCGUAGAUAUCCUAAGGAACACCGGUGGCGAAAGCGGCUCACUGGAUCUCGUUCUGACGCUGAGGCACGAAAGCUAAGGGUAA
rnacentral:rRNA from 1 species